rnacentral:rRNA from 1 species
AGUGAACGCUGGCGGUAGGCCUAACACAUGCAAGUCGAACGGCAGCACAGUAAGAGCUUGCUCUUACGGGUGGCGAGUGGCGGACGGGUGAGGAAUACAUCGGAAUCUACUUUUUCGUGGGGGAUAACGUAGGGAAACUUACGCUAAUACCGCAUACGACCUACGGGUGAAAGCAGGGGAUCUUCGGACCUUGCGCGAUUGAAUGAGCCGAUGUCGGAUUAGCUAGUUGGCGGGGUAAAGGCCCACCAAGGCGACGAUCCGUAGCUGGUCUGAGAGGAUGAUCAGCCACACUGGAACUGAGACACGGUCCAGACUCCUACGGGAGGCAGCAGUGGGGAAUAUUGGACAAUGGGCGAAGGCCUGAUCCAGCCAUACCGCGUGGGUGAAGAAGGCCUUCGGGUUGUAAAGCCCUUUUGUUGGGAAAGAAAGGCAGCAGGUUAAUACCCCGCUGUUCUGACGGUACCCAAAGAAUAAGCACCGGCUAACUUCGUG